rnacentral:rRNA from 1 species
UACGUAGGGUGCAAGCGUUGUCCGGAAUUAUUGGGCGUAAAGAGCUCGUAGGCGGUUUGUUGCGUCGGCUGUGAAAUCCCGAGGCUCAACCUCGGGUCUGCAGUCGAUACGGGCAGGCUAGAGUUCGGUAGGGGAGAUCGGAAUUCCUGGUGUAGCGGUGAAAUGCGCAGAUAUCAGGAGGAACACCGGUGGCGAAGGCGGAUCUCUGGGCCGAUACUGACGCUGAGGAGCGAAAGCGUGGGGAGCGAACAGG